rnacentral:lncRNA from 1 species
CAUUUUCCUUAACAAUCUUAAUUACAGAGUCAUCCCCAUACCCCGUCCGGUAUAAGUACCAAGACAUUAACCUUCAAUACUUGUCCGAUAUGAGGGUGAAGUGAGCCGUCCCCAUAUUCUGUCCGGUAUGAGCGCUAAAUGACUAAGUCUUCAUACCCCGUGGGAUAUGAGACAACGUUCACGGUAGGGUUUCCUAUGAACUCGGUCCGUCUACCAUCUCCUAAGAUAUCUAGUGAGGCUGUCGUCUUAUCUGUUUAUUUGAUCACACCCCUUUUCUGUUUUUCCUUAGUCCCCGUUACCAAAUCAAACAUAAUCACAUAAACCAAUGAACAUGCAUCCGGUAAUGCAAUCAUAUCUUAAAUCUCAAAAUUACAUAGUGAUCAAGUAAGGCAGUAAUACAUGUAUUUAAACCAUCAAGUAGAUAAACCAGAUACUAUCAUAUUUUUAGAUUGUAAAAUAAGUCAACAGAAAUCAACAGAAAACAAUGUCCGAUU